rnacentral:tRNA from 1 species
GGGCAGGUACCCAAGUGGCCAAAGGGGGCUGACUGUAAAUCAGCUGGCACAGCCUUCAGUGGUUCGAAUCCGCUCCUGCCCA